UUUAACUGAAGAGUUUGAUCAUGGCUCAGAUUGAACGCUGGCGGCAGGCUUAACACAUGCAAGUCGAGCGGGGGAAGGUAGCUUGCUACUGGACCUAGCGGCGGACGGGUGAGUAAUGCUUAGGAAUCUGCCUAUUAGUGGGGGACAACAUCUCGAAAGGGAUGCUAAUACCGCAUACGUCCUACGGGAGAAAGCAGGGGAUCUUCGGACCUUGGCGCUAAUAGAUGAGCCUAAGUCGGAUUAGCUAGUUGGUGGGGUAAAGGCCUACCAAGGCGACGAUCUGUAGCGGGUCUGAGAGGAUGAUCCGCCACACUGGGACUGAGACACGGCCCAGACUCCUACGGGAGGCAGCAGUGGGGAAUAUUGGACAAUGGGGGGAACCCUGAUCCGAGCCAUGCCGCGUGUGUGAAGAAGGCCUUAUGGUUGUAAAGCACUUUAAGCGAGGAGGAGGCUACUUUAGUUAAUACCUAGAGAUAGUGGACGUUACUCGCAGAAUAAGCACCGGCUAACUCUGUGCCAGCAGCCGCGGUAAUACAGAGGGUGCGAGCGUUAAUCGGAUUUACUGGGCGUAAAGCGUGCGUAGGCGGCAUUAUUAAGUCGGAUGUGAAAUCCCCGAGCUUAACUUGGGAAUUGCAUUCGAUACUGGUGAGCUAGAGUAUGGGAGAGGAUGGUAGAAUUCCAGGUGUAGCGGUGAAAUGCGUAGAGAUCUGGAGGAAUACCGAUGGCGAAGGCAGCCAUCUGGCCUAAUACUGACGCUGAGGUACGAAAGCAUGGGGAGCAAACAGGAUUAGAUACCCUGGUAGUCCAUGCCGUAAACGAUGUCUACUAGCCGUUGGGGCCUUUGAGGCUUUAGUGGCGCAGCUAACGCGAUAAGUAGACGCCUGGGGAGUACGGUCGCAAGACUAAAACUCAAAUGAAUUGACGGGGGCCCGCACAAGCGGUGGAGCAUGUGGUUUAAUUCGAUGCAACGCGAAGAACCUUACCUGGCCUUGACAUACUAGAAACUUUCCAGAGAUGGAUUGGUGCCUUCGGGAAUCUAGAUACAGGUGCUGCAUGGCUGUCGUCAGCUCGUGUCGUGAGAUGUUGGGUUAAGUCCCGCAACGAGCGCAACCCUUUUCCUUACUUGCCAGCAUUUCGGAUGGGAACUUUAAGGAUACUGCCAGUGACAAACUGGAGGAAGGCGGGGACGACGUCAAGUCAUCGAUGG
rnacentral:rRNA from 1 species